rnacentral:rRNA from 1 species
AUUGAACGCUGGCGGCAUGCCUUACACAUGCAAGUCGAACGGUAACAGGUCUUCGGAUGCUGACGAGUGGCGAACGGGUGAGUAAUACAUCGGAACGUGCCUAGUAGUGGGGGAUAACUACUCGAAAGAGUGGCUAAUACCGCAUGAGAUCUACGGAUGAAAGCAGGGGAUCGCAAGACCUUGUGCUACUAGAGCGGCCGAUGGCAGAUUAGGUAGUUGGUGGGAUAAAAGCCUACCAAGCCGACGAUCUGUAGCUGGUCUGAGAGGACGAUCAGCCACACUGGGACUGAGACACGGCCCAGACUCCUACGGGAGGCAGCAGUGGGGAAUUUUGGACAAUGGGCGCAAGCCUGAUCCAGCAAUGCCGCGUGCAGGAUGAAGGCCUUCGGGUUGUAAACUGCUUUUGUACGGAACGAAAAGCCCUGGGUUAAUACCCUGGGGUCAUGACGGUACCGUAAGAAUAAGCACCGGCUAACUACGUGCCAGCCGCCGCGGUAAAAC